UAAACUAAACUAUGUAGCCAGUAAGCUAAAGAAGCAAUCAGAGCAAGCGAUCAUAGUCAGGUGAAAAUGAAGAACCAAUGUGAAAGGCUGGGCCAGACAAUGUUAAAAAAGAGAAUGAAGACAGACCAGUUCAUAAAACAUCAGCUUUUCUCAGUCUACAGACGCACGCACAAAGCCAGUUAGCAACAUAGCAAGUUAGCACUGUAUUAGAAAAAUAUAUGUUUAUCUAAGAUAAAAGGAGCAUCUUACUUCAACUCUUUUUCAGGGACACAUCAUAACAAAAGUACAUCUAUUCUCAAGAAAAAGGCAUCAUGGAUAGCUCCACGUCGAUUGGUAUAGCCGUGGCGUUUGGCAUCUUGGGAUUGUUCCUGCUGAUAUGUUUGAUGCAGAUAUUCUGCAAGAAAAUCAAACGCUGCAAGCGCAAAAACCAGUCGGUGAAAGACAAAAUUUUAAAGAAAGUCGGGAUGAAAAAUUUGCCUCCGUUUUCAAUCAGCAGAAUCGUUGACAAGAAAUAACGCCCAUCA